GACGAACGCUGGCGGCGUGCUUAACACAUGCAAGUCGAACGAAGAGCGAUGGAAGCUUGCUUCUAUCAAUCUUAGUGGCGAACGGGUGAGUAACGCGUAAUCAACCUGCCCUUCAGAGGGGGACAACAGUUGGAAACGACUGCUAAUACCGCAUACGAUCUAAUCUCGGCAUCGAGGAUGGAUGAAAGGUGGCCUCUACAUGUAAGCUAUCACUGAAGGAGGGGAUUGCGUCUGAUUAGCUAGUUGGAGGGGUAACGGCCCACCAAGGCGAUGAUCAGUAGCCGGUCUGAGAGGAUGAACGGCCACAUUGGGACUGAGACACGGCCCAGACUCCUACGGGAGGCAGCAGUGGGGAAUCUUCCGCAAUGGACGAAAGUCUGACGGAGCAACGCCGCGUGAGUGAUGACGGCCUUCGGGUUGUAAAGCUCUGUUAAUCGGGACGAAAGGCC
rnacentral:rRNA from 1 species